rnacentral:rRNA from 1 species
CGCGGCCUAUCAGCUUGUUGGUGAGGUAACGGCUCACCAAGGCAUCGACGGGUAGCUGGUCUGAGAGGACGAUCAGCCACACUGGGACUGAGACACGGCCCAGACUCCUACGGGAGGCAGCAGUAGGGAAUCUUGCGCAAUGGGCGAAAGCCUGACGCAACAACGCCGCGUGGGGGAUGAAUGCCCUCGGGUUGUAAACCCCUUUCAGCAGGGACGAAAAUGACGGUACCUGCAGAAGAAGCCCCGGCCAACUACGUACCAGCAGCCGCGGUAAUACGUAGGGAGCGAGCGUUGUCCGGAAUUAUUGGGCGUAAAGAGCUCGUAGGCGGUUCGGUAAGUCGGGUGUGAAAACUCAAGGCUCAACCUUGAGACGCCACUCGAUACUGCUGUGACUUGAGUCCGGUAGAGGAGUGUGGAAUUCCUGGUGUAGCGGUGAAAUGCGCAGAUAUCAGGAGGAACACCAGCGGCGAAGGCGGCACUCUGGGCCGGUACUGACGCUGAGGAGCGAAAGCAUGGGGAGCAAACAGGAUUAGAUACCCUGGUAGUCCAUGCCGUAAACGUUGGGCACUAGGUAUGGGAUCAUAUCAACGGAUUCUGUGCCGUAGCUAACGCAUUAAGUGCCCCGCCUGGGGAGUACGG